UACGUAGGUGGCAAGCGUUACUCGGAAUCACUAGGCGUAAAGCGCAGGUAGGAGGUUUGGUAAGUCUAUUGUGAAAGCUCCCGGCUUAACUGGGAGAGGUCAAUGGAAACUACCAGGCUGGAGUGCGGUAGAGGGUAGCUGGAAUUCCCGGUGUAGCGGUGAAAAUGCGUAGAUAUCGAGAGGAACACCUGCGGCGAAGGCGGGUAGCUGGGCCGACACUGACGCUGAUGCGCGAAAGCCAGGGGAGCGAACGGG
rnacentral:rRNA from 1 species